rnacentral:lncRNA from 1 species
GAGUUUCUCUGUGGUCAAACCACCCUGCCAGCCUCCCUGCUGCAGCCGGCAGCACGUCACUCCAUGCGGGAGGGGAGCCCCACCUAAGGUUCUUGGCCAUAAAAUAUGGCUUUUGGAAAAAUAAAGCUGAGACUUGGAGUUCACGGUGGGGGCUCCCCCAUCUGUGAACAGAAGCAGAAGUUUGGAACUGCCUUCUUUACUGCUCGAGAGGGAAAACUUGAGUGAAAACCAGGAUGCUGGCGAAUGUUGAGUAGCUAAGCUGCACAGGAAAUACCACUUGAUGACCUGCGAUCUGGGGAAGCCGCGCCAGGGCUCUGCGAAGCUGCGGACGAGGGAGGCGUCAGUGUGGGGGCUGCAGCUCAGCUCCGGGGGGGACGCGCCUUUCUCCACGGGACCUGGGGCUCAGGUGCUCACGAGGCUGGGGCGCUGCAGGCCACCCGCAGGGGAAACUGAGGCCCUCCAUUUUGUGGGGCUGGAAGACCUUUCCUUCCAAAAGCAGGUGUAGGCGGGAGCACCUGUGCAGUCCCUCUGUUCAGAUCCUCACCCACUUUUAAAUCAGGUAAUUGCUUUUCUUGUUAUUGCAUUGAGUUCCUUAUGUAUUUUAGAUAUUACCCCCAAGAACAUUUAUUUUAAACACUAGCUAAAGCUCUCGUAAGAACUGAUGUCUUAUAAGGUAAAAUACUGGUUUAAGAAAGAAGUUGAUAAAGGGACAGCACCAGACAAAGAGUGGCAGCACCAACAACCAGUGCGAGGGCUCCGUUCAGAAGGAUCUGGAUGGUCGCCUGGACGUGCUGCCGUGUCAUGUCUUAGGUGGUUAGUCAAUCCACAUGAUGGUUUUAAGUCAAAUUCCCAGCUUUGGGACCAACCCUAUCCCCCACGGCAAUCCAAGAAACCCGAUCCAGGACUCUUUCCACUGGGAGUUGUCAGAACUGUGUCUUCAUCCAAGACAAUUGGUUUCCCAUACUCAUACUUAGAGGGAACCCUGGCCCCUUUAAGGUGGGGCUCCCUCAACUUGGGACUCGUUACUCCUCAGUUCAGCUCCCCUGCCAUUGCUGGCCUCCUUGACAGAGUUCAGAGGAUGCGGCUCCAUCCUUCUCCCUCUGUCCCAGCUUCUUGUAUGUGAAAACAAACCAGGGAGGCUGGAGGCCCUGAGUACAUUUUUUUGAAUUCUGGGCAGCAGCGUCGGUGGCCUCGGUGGU